rnacentral:pre_miRNA from 1 species
CUGUCCACUGGUGCAUCAGGCCUUUCAGAAGCCUCCGGCUUGGCGGAGGCUUCUGAAAGGCCUGGUGCUGGAGCAGACAGCU